rnacentral:lncRNA from 1 species
AAAAAGUUGCCCCUGGGCCUACCAGGAUACAAUUUCCAAGCAAAAAAAGUUUUUUUAUCUUCUACAUCCUUCACAUUAGUAGACGUAUCUUAAAAAAUCAUCAUUCAAAAAUUUCCAAAUCGACCAAACAAUAGAAUGCCAAAUCAUGGAUAACUCACCUCCAAUCUUAGGCACUCAACCCAACAAGAUAAAAAAAAUCAAAAGAGAUAAGAGAUCCCUAGGAAGCACAAAAA